AGAGUUUGAUCCUGGCUCAGAUUGAACGCUGGCGGCAGGCCUAACACAUGCAAGUCGAGCGGAUGAAGGGAGCUUGCUCCUGGAUUCAGCGGCGGACGGGUGAGUAAUGCCUAGGAAUCUGCCUGGUAGUGGGGGAUAACGUCCGGAAACGGGCGCUAAUACCGCAUACGUCCUGAGGGAGAAAGUGGGGGAUCUUCGGACCUCACGCUAUCAGAUGAGCCUAGGUCGGAUUAGCUAGUUGGUGGGGUAAAGGCUCACCAAGGCGACGAUCCGUAACUGGUCUGAGAGGAUGAUCAGUCACACUGGAACUGAGACACGGUCCAGACUCCUACGGGAGGCAGCAGUGGGGAAUAUUGGACAAUGGGCGAAAGCCUGAUCCAGCCAUGCCGCGUGUGUGAAGAAGGUCUUCGGAUUGUAAAGCACUUUAAGUUGGGGAGGAAGGGCAGUAAGUUAAUACCUUGCUGUUUUGACGUUACCGACAGAAUAAGCACCGGCUAACUCUGUGCCAGCAGCCGCGGUAAUACAGAGGGUGCAAGCGUUAAUCGGAAUUACUGGGCGUAAAGCGCGCGUAGGUGGUUUGUUAAGUUGGAUGUGAAAGCCCCGGGCUCAACCUGGGAACUGCAUCCAAAACUGGCAAGCUAGAGUACGGUAGAGGGUGGUGGAAUUUCCUGUGUAGCGGUGAAAUGCGUAGAUAUAGGAAGGAACACCAGUGGCGAAGGCGACCACCUGGACUGAUACUGACACUGAGGUGCGAAAGCGUGGGGAGCAAACAGGAUUAGAUACCCUGAUAGUCCACGCCG
rnacentral:rRNA from 1 species